rnacentral:tRNA from 1 species
GCGCCUGUAGCUCAGUUGGAUAGAGCAACGGACUUCUAAUCCGUAGGUCGCAGGUUCGAAUCCUGCCAGGCGUA